GAUAAGAUGGCCGAGAUUAGGCAAUAAGCUGUAAAUUUAUUCACGAGUGAAACUCUCUUAUCA
rnacentral:tRNA from 1 species